GAGCUUGUGUGCUUAGGCCUUACGCUGGUGGGAGAUGCUGCCACCUAGGUUACUUGUAGGACCCUAUAGGGCAACCUCCCUUUCCAGGAACUGUUUGGGAACAUCUUGCAGGAAAAUGCCCUCCUUAAAUAUACACUUCUCUUUAGUGUAUGCUAGCAGUGGAGUGUCUGGAAUAAAGAUGGCUGAAUCAUCUUCAACUCUAGUAGUUGAAACCAGUGAUGCUGACCUCCCUCUAAAAGCUGCAUUUCUGAAUUUCUGAAGGCGAACUGUCUGCCUAUAUUGCACAGCAAAAUAAUUUCCUGUAUUAAAACGUUUUUGCUCUAAAUUUCUAGGUUAAACUCUGCUUAGAUAUUGCUAAGGGGGUAGCCAAGUGUAGAAACUUAAAUUUACUGACAGAAAUCUAGAGAAUGCUUAAUUUUUUUCCAGCAAUGAAGUAGAAGAGCCAGGGAUAUCCCAGAAGGGUAUACAAAAGGGUAUGCAAAACAUCAAGAGAAGAUCAGAGGGUAAGGUUUACAGAUUGAGUUAAUAGAAUAAUGCACAAUGGGGUUUGGGUUGCAUGAGAAACAGGGUCUAUGGGUGUGUAUUUAUAAGUUCACAUAUACACAAAUGCAUACAUAUAUGUACACACACAGGCAGCCCUCAACAUUCUCAUGAUUGGCUUUUGUACAUUAUUUUUCAAUUAUUAAUACCUCAAAUUGCAUUUAUAUAGAGCAAUUGAACUUUAGUGCAUCACAAAAGAGAAGAGACUUUAAUUUCUAGUUCAAGAAAUUGAUGAGAAAGA